rnacentral:rRNA from 1 species
UACGGAGGGGGCUAGCGUUGUUCGGAAUCACUGGGCGUAAAGCGCGCGUAGGCGGACCAUUAAGUCGGGGGUGAAAUCCCGGGGCUCAACCCCGGAACGGCCUUCGAUACUGGCGGUCUGGAGGUCGAGAGAGGCGAGUGGAAUUCCGAGUGUAGAGGUGAAAUUCGUAGAUAUUCGGAGGAACACCAGUGGCGAAGGCGGCUCGCUGGCUCGAUUCUGACGCUGAGGCGCGAAAGCGUGGGGAGCAAACAGG